ensembl:lncRNA
CCUAGGCUGCAUAUCCUAACUUGCACAGACUUAAUUUGCAAGAGUACUAGAAAACAACAAUCACAUUUUCCAUAGUCUUUCUUUUUUCUACAGCUUUUCUCAUGGAAAACAUAUUCAAAUACCAUUUUAUCUUAAGAAACAAACAAACAAACAAACAAAAAGAGUUCAACUUGCUUUUCUACAUACCUCUGUUUAUGGUGAGCAGUCAUUUCCUUCGAAUAAGGACUUCUCAGUGCCAUGAGAGGAGAAAUGUCUGGAUGCCUGGAGUCACAGUGAUGCGGAAGAGCUGGAUGGAAUCUCAC